rnacentral:lncRNA from 10 species
AAAAGCCCAGGCGAACGGCAGGAGGAGCAACAAUGGCAAUGGUCUUUCACUGAGGGCUGCAGCCCCACCAGACAGUCAUCUCCAUGCAGCCAUCUGCUCCACAUCCAGGUGAGUCUCCUCUCUGCCAUUUCAGACCUAAGGGAAGGCAGGAAAGGCACAGCUGCCUGCUCUCCCUAGCCCUGGAAUACUGAGUUCUCUGCCCCCUGCCCACAGCUUUGUAAAUAGUCCCAUUACUAAACUUUCCUCAGUGACCCAGUUUUCCGUGAUAUCUCUGGCCCGCUGUGGCCUUAUGACAGAUAUCCCAGGGGGCUACUGCCAUUACCUAGGACUCCUAUGGAAGAAAUUCCCACUGAAAAUGAGCUCACAGAGUGAGUCCAUUAGGCUGUGGCUGUAAUAAGAUGCAUAACGGAGACUUCCAUUUCCUCUUAGAAUGUAGAAAACUGCAAAGAACAUUGCUCCCACACUAACAAUGAGAACAGUCAGGUAAUCCUCAACGCCACUGGAGAGGUGAAUCACAGGGGAACAAAGUGAACUGAAUUCCAAAAAGGAUGGGCC